rnacentral:rRNA from 1 species
UACGUAGGGGGCAAGCGUUGUCCGGAUUUAUUGGGCGUAAAGCGCUCGCAGGCGGCCUGGCCAAGUCGUGCGUGAAAUCUCCCGGCUCAACUGGGAGCGGUCGUGCGAUACUGGUCGGCUCGAGGCCGGUAGGGGGGAGUGGAAUUCCGGGUGUAGUGGUGGAAUGCGUAGAUAUCCGGAGGAACACCAGUGGCGAAGGCGGCUCCCUGGACCGGUCCUGACGCUCAGGAGCGAAAGCGUGGGUAGCGAUCCGGAUUAGAUACCCCCGUAGUCC